UACGGAGGGUGCAUGCAUUAAUCGGAUUUAUUGGGCGUAAAGAGCGUGUAGGCGGCGAAGAAAGUCAGAUGUGAAAUCCCGGGGCUUACCCCCGGAACUGCAUUUGAAACUUCUUCACUAGAGGGUAGGCGGAGAAAACGGAAUUCCACAAGUAGCGGUGAAAUGCGUAGAUAUGUGGAAGAACACCGGUGGCGAAGGCGGUUUUCUAGCUUAUUCCUGACGCUGAGACGCGAAAGCAAGGGGAGCAAACAGG
rnacentral:rRNA from 1 species